GUGCUCACUUUGGCAGCACAUAUACCAAAACUGGAAUGAUAGAGAAAAUUAGCAUGGCUCCUGCACAAGGAUGACAUGCAAAUUUGUGAAGCAUUGCACUUUUUU